rnacentral:rRNA from 1 species
CGCCUGUUUAUCAAAAACAUUUCUCUAAGCAAUUCUUUAGAGUAAAACCUGCUCAAUGAAAAUAUUAAAAGGCCGCAGUAAUUUAACUGUGCUAAGGUAGCAUAAUCAUUAGCCUCUUAAUUAGAGGCUAGAAUGAAUGGUUUAACAUUUCCUUAACUUUUUUAAAAAUUAAUAUAAAACUUAUAUUAAAUAUAAAAAUAUAUUUAUUUACAAAUUAGACGACAAGACCCUUUCAAACUUUACUACAGUUUAGCUGGGGUAGCUUAAUAAUAAUAAUCUUAUUAGUAUUUAUAAAAUAGACCCAAUUUAAAAAUUGAUUAAAUGAACAAGUUACUGAAGGGAUAACAGCAUAAUAAAUUUAUAUAGCUCUAUUAAAAAAUUAGUUUAUGACCUCGAUGUUGAAUUAUUUUACUUCUACACGCAAGAGUAUAGAAAGUAGGUCUGUUCGACCUU